rnacentral:rRNA from 1 species
AGAAGUGAGAAUGCCGGUAUGAGUAGCGAAAGACAGGUGAGAAUCCUGUCCACCGAAUGACUAAGGUUUCCUGGGGAAGGCUCGUCCGCCCAGGGUUAGUCGGGACCUAAGCCGAGGCCGACAGGCGUAGGCGAUGGAUAACAGGUUGAUAUUCCUGUACCCGUUGUUUUUGUUUGAGCAAUGGAGGGACGCAGGAGGCUAAGGAAUGCAGACGAUCGGAA